GACGAACGCUGGCGGCGUGCUUAACACAUGCAAGUCGAACGGAAAGGCCCUGCUUUUGUGGGGUGCUCGAGUGGCGAACGGGUGAGUAACACGUGAGUAACCUGCCCUUGACCUUGGGAUAACUUCAGGAAACUGGGGCUAAUACCGGAUAGGAGCUCCUGCUGCAUGGUGGGGGUUGGAAAGUUUCGGCGGUUGGGGAUGGACUCGCGGCUUAUCAGCUUGUUGGUGGGGUAGUGGCUUACCAAGGCUUUGACGGGUAGCCGGCCUGAGAGGGUGACCGGCCACAAUGGGACUGAGAUACGGCCCAGACUCCUACGGGAGGCAGCAGUGGAGAAUAUUGCACAAUGGGCGGAAGCCGGAUGCAGCAACGCCGCGUGCGGGAUGACGGCCUUCGGGUUGUAAACCGCUUUCGCCUGUGACGAAGCGUGAGUGACGGUAAUGGGUAAAGAAGCACCGGCUAACUACGUG
rnacentral:rRNA from 1 species